rnacentral:rRNA from 1 species
GGGUUGUGAGGUUAAGCGACUAAGCGUACACGGUGGAUGCCCUGGCAGUCAGAGGCGAUGAAGGACGUGCUAAUCUGCGAUAAGCGUCGGUGAGGUGAUAUGAACCGUUAUAACCGGCGAUUUCCGAAUGGGGAAACCCAGUGUGUUUCGACACACUAUCAUUAACUGAAUCCAUAGGUUAAUGAGGCGAACCGGGGGAACUGAAACAUCUAAGUACCCCGAGGAAAAGAAAUCAACCGAGAUUCCCCCAGUAGCGGCGAGCGAACGGGGAGGAGCCCAGAGCCUGAAUCAGUGUGUGUGUUAGUGGAAGCGUCUGGAAAGGCGUGCGAUACAGGGUGACAGCCCCGUACACAAAAAUGCACAUAUUGUGAGCUCGAUGAGUAGGGCGGGACACGUGGUAUCCUGUCUGAAUAUGGGGGGACCAUCCUCCAAGGCUAAAUACUCCUGACUGACCGAUAGUGAACCAGUACCGUGAGGGAAAGGCGAAAAGAACCCCGGCGAGGGGAGUGAAAAAGAACCUGAAACCGUGUACGUACAAGCAGUGGGAGCCUCUUAAUGGGGUGACUGCGUACCUUUUGUAUAAUGGGUCAGCGACUUAUAUUCUGUAGCAAGGUUAACCGAAUAGGGGAGCCGAAGGGAAACCGAGUCUUAACUGGGCGUUAAGUUGCAGGGUAUAGACCCGAAACCCGGUGAUCUAGCCAUGGGCAGGUUGAAGGUUGGGUAACACUAACUGGAGGACCGAACCGACUAAUGUUGAAAAAUUAGCGGAUGACUUGUGGCUGGGGGUGAAAGGCCAAUCAAACCGGGAGAUAGCUGGUUCUCCCCGAAAGCUAUUUAGGUAGCGCCUCGUGAAUUCAUCUCCGGGGGUAGAGCACUGUUUCGGCAAGGGGGUCAUCCCGACUUACCAACCCGAUGCAAACUGCGAAUACCGGAGAAUGUUAUCACGGGAGACACACGGCGGGUGCUAACGUCCGUCGUGAAGAGGGAAACAACCCAGACCGCCAGCUAAGGUCCCAAAGUCAUGGUUAAGUGGGAAACGAUGUGGGAAGGCCCAGACAGCCAGGAUGUUGGCUUAGAAGCAGCCAUCAUUUAAAGAAAGCGUAAUAGCUCACUGGUCGAGUCGGCCUGCGCGGAAGAUGUAACGGGGCUAAACCAUGCACCGAAGCUGCGGCAGCGACACUAUGUGUUGUUGGGUAGGGGAGCGUUCUGUAAGCCUGUGAAGGUGGCCUGUGAGGGUUGCUGGAGGUAUCAGAAGUGCGAAUGCUGACAUAAGUAACGAUAAAGCGGGUGAAAAGCCCGCUCGCCGGAAGACCAAGGGUUCCUGUCCAACGUUAAUCGGGGCAGGGUGAGUCGACCCCUAAGGCGAGGCCGAAAGGCGUAGUCGAUGGGAAACAGGUUAAUAUUCCUGUACUUGGUGUUACUGCGAAGGGGGGACGGAGAAGGCUAUGUUGGCCGGGCGACGGUUGUCCCGGUUUAAGCGUGUAGGCUGGUUUUCCAGGCAAAUCCGGAAAACCAAGGCUGAGGCGUGAUGACGAGGCACUACGGUGCUGAAGCGACAAAUGCCCUGCUUCCAGGAAAAGCCUCUAAGCAUCAGGUAACAUCAAAUCGUACCCAAAACCGACACAGGUGGUCAGGUAGAGAAUACCAAGGCGCUUGAGAGAACUCGGGUGAAGGAACUAGGCAAAAUGGUGCCGUAACUUCGGGAGAAGGCACGCUGAUAUGUAGGUGAAGCGACUUGCUCGUGGAGCUGAAAUCAGUCGAAGAUACCAGCUGGCUGCAACUGUUUAUUAAAAACACAGCACUGUGCAAACACGAAAGUGGACGUAUACGGUGUGACGCCUGCCCGGUGCCGGAAG